rnacentral:lncRNA from 1 species
AUGCAACUAAAAACAAUUUUAACAACUGAAAUUUAUAAUUUAAAAGAUCAAACACACAUUAAACACAUCCACCAAUCAAGAACUACCAAGAACACAAAGAACACAUAUAGAAACUUAAAACAACCCCGAUUUUCGACUAAAUUUGUGGCCGACCACAACAAAUCUGGCCAAGAUAAAACAAGUUAGAAAAAUAUGACCACUAAACUCAAACAAAAUUCACAACAUAAUCCGAACAAAUUUCAAUGAAGUUACAAAUGAAUCCGAUCACCUAAAAAACCCGAUAACCUCUACAACAGAAGAGAAGAUAAAUAAAACAUGCACUAACGUAUAUCUACUAUCAUAAUAAAAUAAAGAAAGCAACAAAACGCAAGAAAAACACACAACAAACAUAAAAA